UACAAGCUGAGAUGUAUUAAGUCUCUUGUGAUUUUGAACCUACAUUUGAAUAUAAGGGAUUCCUAUAUCAUUGUAUUGAUGUCAAGCCUCGUAUAUAAGUUCAAGUGGAAGAUUGAUGUACAAUUGCGGUUGCCCACCUAGCAUGGCUAGGACUCAAAAGCAAGGGCGCAUUUCAGUUUACUA
rnacentral:other from 1 species